AGCUCCGGCUAACUACGUGCCAGCAGCCGCGGUAAUACGUAGGGAGCGAGCGUUAUCCGGAAUUAUUGGGCGUAAAGAGUGCGUAGGCGGUUUACUAAGUCUGAUGUGAAAGCCCCCGGCUUAACCGGGGAGGGUCAUUGGAAACUGGUAAACUUGAGUACAGUAGAGGCAAGUGGAAUUCCAUGUGUAGCGGUAAAAUGCGUAGAUAUAUGGAGGAACACCAGUGGCGAAGGCGGCUUGCUGGGCUGGAACUGACGCUGAGGCACGAAAGCGUGGGGAGCAAACAGGAUUAGAUACCCUGGUAGUCCACGCCGUAAACGAUGGGCACUAAGUGUUGGCAGAGAUGUCAGUGCUGUAGUUAACGCAUUAAGUGCCCCGCCUGGGGAGUACGGUUCGCAAGACUGUAAACUCAAAUGAAUUGACGG
rnacentral:rRNA from 1 species